rnacentral:rRNA from 1 species
GACGUAGGGCGCGAGCGUUGUCCGGAUUUAUUGGGCGUAAAGAGCUCGUAGGCGGCUUGUCGCGUCGACCGUGAAAACUCACAGCUCAACUGUGAGCCUGCGGUCGAUACGGGCAGGCUAGAGUUCGGUAGGGGAGACUGGAAUUCCUGGUGUAGCGGUGAGAUGCGCAGAUAUCAGGAGGAACACCGGUGGCGAAGGCGGGUCUCUGGGCCGAUACUGACGCUGAGGAGCGAAAGCGUGGGGAGCGAACAGG